rnacentral:lncRNA from 1 species
CAAAAGCGCGAGCUGGGGUCUGACGUCACCAGCCACUGUUCUCGUUCACCCGUUCGGUGAGCUAUUGCAUGGAAUGCAUUUUGCCAUUGCUAGUUGUGCGUGUCGAAUAACUGUGUUGUUUGCUCGGUGUUUAUAUUAUUGUAUUUAGUGUAUGAUAUACUUUAUCAAAAUUAAAAACAAAUCUGCCUAAUAUAAGUAGUAUAUAGUGCUGGAAUGCCAAAGCACAACUUUCAGAAUAUCCAACAAACAUUUUUUUACUCUAAUAGCAGAACCAAAAACGUAGAUUAAAAUGGCUAGAGGCAGGCUUGCGAGAUAAAAAGGAUAUUUCACAAAGUAGCAAAGGUCUUUAUUUCUGUGAGGAUUAUUUCGAUUUGGAACAAGACAUGGAUAACUAUAUUAUAUAAUUCAAGAUUAUGGGUGGUCCCAAAAUUAUUAAGUCAGGUGUUGUCCCGCACUUAUUUGAUUGUCAACUAGAUAGAAAACGAGCGUUUUCUCAACCUGAGGGAAGCAGCCCUUAAAAGGAUUAAACGAUAACUUCUAGAUGCCGCUUCUACAUCUAAGUCUGUUCUAGAGGACAAUGAUGAUAAGAGACAGUGUGAUCCUAAUUUCACAAACUUAGUUCAAUCAGGACCUGAAUUAAACCAACCAGCUUUACCUCAAAAA